rnacentral:rRNA from 1 species
UGGGGAAUAUUGCACAAUGGGCGGAAGCCUGAUGCAGCAACGCCGCGUGCGGGAUGACGGCCUUCGGGUUGUAAACCGCUUUCGCCUGUGACGAAGCGUGAGUGACGGUAAUGGGUAAAGAAGCACCGGCUAACUACGUGCCAGCAGCCGCGGUGAUACGUAGGGUGCGAGCGUUGUCCGGAUUUAUUGGGCGUAAAGGGCUCGUAGGUGGUUGAUCGCGUCGGAAGUGUAAUCUUGGGGCUUAACCCUGAGCGUGCUUUCGAUACGGGUUGACUUGAGGAAGGUAGGGGAGAAUGGAAUUCCUGGUGAGCGGUGGAAUGCAGCAGAUAUCAGGAGGAACACCAGUGGCGAAGGCGGUUUUCUGGGCCUUUCCUGACGCUGAGGAGCGAAAGCGUGGGGAGCGAACAGGCUUAGAUACCCUGGUAGUCCACGCUGUAAACGGUGGGUACUAGGUGUGGGGUCCAUUCCACGGGUUCCGUGCCGUAGCUAACGCUUUAAGUACCCCGCCUGGGGAGUACGGCCGCAAGGCUAAAACUUAAAUGAAUUGACGGGGUCAUAGCUGUUUCCU